rnacentral:piRNA from 1 species
UAUAUGAGAGACUACCACGAU